rnacentral:rRNA from 1 species
GACGAACGCUGGCGGCGUGCUUAACACAUGCAAGUCGAACGGAAAGGCCCUGCUUGCAGGGUACUCGAGUGGCGAACGGGUGAGUAACACGUGGGUGAUCUGCCCUGCACUUCGGGAUAAGCCUGGGAAACUGGGUCUAAUACCGGAUAUGACCUUCCAUGUAGUGUGGGGGGUGGAAAGAUUUAUCGGUGUGGGAUGAGCCCGCGGCCUAUCAGCUUGUUGGUGGGGUAAUGGCCUACCAAGGCGUCGACGGGUAGCCGGCCUGAGAGGGUGGACGGCCACAUUGGGACUGAGAUACGGCCCAGACUCCUACGGGAGGCAGCAGUGGGGAAUAUUGCACAAUGGGCGGAAGCCUUAUGCAGCGACGCCGCGUGGGGGAUGACGGCCUUCGGGUUGUGAACCUCUUUCGACAGGGACGAAGCUUCGGUGACGGUACCUGUAUAAGAAGCACCGGCUAACUACGU